rnacentral:rRNA from 1 species
GUGGGGAAUAUUGGGCAAUGGGCGCAAGCCUGACCCAGCAACGCCACGUGAAGGAAGAAGGCUUUCGGGUUGUAAACUUCUUUUACCAGGGACGAAACAAAUGACGGUACCUGGUGAAUAAGCCACGGCUAACUACGUGCCAGCAGCCGCGGUAAUACGUAGGUGGCGAGCGUUAUCCGGAUUUAUUGGGUGUAAAGGGCGUGUAGGCGGGACAGCAAGUCAGAUGUGAAAACCAGAGGCUCAACCUCUGGCCUGCAUUUGAAACUGUUGUUCUUGAGUGUCGGAGAGGUAAUCGGAAUUCCGUGUGUGGCGGUGAAAUGCGUAGAUAUACGGAGGAACACCAGUGGCGAAGGCGGCUUUCUGGACUGUAACUGACACUGAGGCACGAAAGCGUGGGGAGCAAACAGGAUUAGAAACCCUGGUAGUCC